rnacentral:misc_RNA from 1 species
AUUUUACGCUUGAUUUUCAAUGUACACGCAUAGUCGUUCCAUGUACGUUCUAUAUUUUAUUUUCGGGUUAACCAGAGACGGGAGGAAAAAUUGAGUCGCACAGCCAGCCGUCAGGAGAAAUUGCCUCUCACAAGUGAGAAGCAAAUUACAUCACCGCGAUCACGAAAUCAACGAUACGCUGCGAAGAAUAGAACGGGAAGAAACCCGGUGGGGAAUAUUAGGGAAC